rnacentral:rRNA from 1 species
UGCAAAAGAAGUAGGUAGGCUUAACCUUCGGGAGGGCGCUUACCACUUUGUGAUUCAUGACUGGGGUGAAGUCGUAACAAGGUAACCGUAGGGGAACCUGCGGUUGGAUCACCUCCUUA